AAGGGGAAGAACCCUAGCUUGCUCAAUUAACUACAAAUUCAGUACAAUUGUGGAGGAUUCAUGUUACAAAUCGAAUGCUAAUGUCUAAAUACUCACUAAUCUCAGUGUUUUGAGCAUAAGGAUCGAAAGAAGAAGGAGCUAGUUCCGGAUCACAAACAAAGUCACAAGAUCGAGGUAAAGCACAAGUUUAAUCGCCGUUGCGUCACUCGGAUAUGAACACACCUUGAUCACCCGUGAUACGCUUCCGCCUCUUUUGUAGUAAUUUCAAG